rnacentral:rRNA from 1 species
UAGGGAAUCUUCCGCAAUGGACGCAAGUCUGACGGAGCAACGCCGCGUGAGUGAAGAAGGAUUUCGGUUCGUAAAACUCUGUUGUUAGAGAAGAACAGCGCAUAGAGUAACUGUUAUGCGUGUGACGGUAUCUAACCAGAAAGCCACGGCUAACUACGUGCCAGCAGCCGCGGUAAUACGUAGGUGGCAAGCGUUGUCCGGAUUUAUUGGGCGUAAAGCGAGCGCAGGCGGUCAAUUAAGUCUGAUGUGAAAGCCCCCGGCUCAACCGGGGAGGGUCAUUGGAAACUGGUUGAAUUGAGUGCAGAAGAGGAGAGUGGAAUUCCAUGUGUAGCGGUGAAAUGCGUAGAUAUAUGGAGGAACACCAGUGGCGAAGGCGACUCUCUGGUCUGUAACUGACGCUGAGGUUCGAAAGCGUGGGUAGCAAACAGG